CCUGGCAACCCUAAUUCCCGGACUGUCUGGGUGAAAACCGGACACCUGGCAACCCUAUUCCUAAAUCAACAAAAAAUGGAAUGGGUUAAGUCUUUGUCUGGAAUUUAAAUUUUCUGUCAAGUUUGAAUCCAAUUAGAUGAGGAGUUCUAUAUUUAUGACACCUGAAAAAGGUGAAGGAUAAUUAAGACUCUGAAGUGGCACUCAGAAUUCUUGGUUUGAGUUGCAUUCCUGAUGCUGCCACAGACCUUCCGUGUGGUCUUGCAUACUUCAUAUAAUCGCUCUCUCCCUCUUUCCCCCAUCUGGAAUAUAGGACCGAUCAGGAAAAUAGUACUUGCAGGGGGCUGACAGAAUUGCUGGGCCUCUGGGCAAAGAAUGGAGACCAGCUCUGCGGCCCUGGAAGGGGCAGGGCCAGAGGCGGCCCUAGACUAGCUGCCAGCAACUGGCGCUCUAGGCAAACCGUGCAAUUGGCGCCCCAACCUCCAAAUCCCUCAAUGAUAUUGCAUCACCAUUUGGUGCCCCAGUUAACUUGGCGCCCUAGGCAACCUGAGCGGGGCCUUAAGCUGAAUGGAGGGGAGGGGGUUGGAAGGCAGCCAGGCCUUCAGCACUACCCUGGGCGUGCCGCCCUGAGUGCUGGCAAUGAUUUAAGGGGCCCAGAGCUCUGGCUGCAACUGUGAUUCCCUUUUGAAUCACCAGGAGAUGGUCAUCUCCUAUUUUUCGCAUACUUGGCCUUAGUCAUUUAAAAAAUUAAAAAACAAGUUAAAAUGGGGCGGGGGAAGAAAGGGUUCCUGGAGAAAUUUUCUGACUUGUUUCAAAAUAGGCUAUAUUUGGUGGGGAAAGCAGUGAUUCAUGCGUGACUUAUGUUUUUUAAGUACGACUUAAUCAAAAAGAAAGAAAAAAGAAGAAAAUAAUUGAAAGAGGAAACUCAAUGGCAAUUCUUAUUUUAUUUGCUACUCCAGUUUUGCCAGUGGAUGCCGAAAUUUGUUUUGAAAAUGCUUGUGUGCAUUGGUGACUGGGUGACCCAUUCACCCUCCAUCCACCAUAAGUAUCUCGGCUCUGAACCUUUCUUGAUAUAGUCUGACCCCCUCAGCCACCUCAGGGAGAAUGUGUUGGAAAGCACUAAAUUAAUGUAAGCAUAAUGCCCACUUUAGAGGGGAGCUGAGAUUCAGUAAACUCAUUGAUCAUAGAUCUUAGUUAUAUGCAGCUUCUGAAUUCAAGCAGAUGUUGAACCCAAUAAUACUGAAAAUAUAGAUGCAAAUUUUACAAUCUUGUUACACUGACAUUCUCUCUCUAAUGCACAGUGUCUCAGAAAUGUUUUGCUUGUUUUCCAUUAUUAUUUAAAAAGCAAACUCAAAGCCUGUAUUCCCCUUUAAAAAUAGAAACCAAACAUUGGAUGUAGGAGACGAUUGUUGUCUUGGAGCCAGUGGUUGCCUGCUUAGCCACAAAGGUCUUCAUCUAGCUCAGGGGUGGCCAAAUUUAUGAACCCUCUGAGCAGCAUAUGAUGAUUUUCAGAAGUUGAAGAGCUGGGGUACUCCUUCUGGGGUUCAGAGCUUCUGCCCCAUGGGAGGCACCUGCUGGGAUUUAGGGCUUCAGUCCCACUCCUACAGAAGCCCUGAGCCUUGGCAGGUGUUCCCUCUCCCUGCUGGGUAGAAGCCCAUACCCCAUCAACCCCCUGCAAAGCAGAGGUUCUGAGCUCUUCACAGCCCCAUUCUGGUAGGUGAAGAAGGGGGUGUGUGUAUUGUAGGCUCCAAGGGUCACACUUUUAAUGGUAAAAGAACCAUGGCUCACAAGCCAGAGUUUGGCCAUCCCUGAUCUAGCUCAUUAUCUUGAUUCCCAAAAUAUCAUGAAGGAUUACCCGUGUCUAUCCCUUUCUUACCAGAAACCUGCUCUGCUCCCCAUGGACCUGAUAUACUAUGUGCACAUCUUUUGCCAGCUUCAGCAGUUAAGGGUCACAGUCCUGCCAGUCCCUGUGUAGAGGAAUUCUAUUUGAUCUGGCAACUACUUCCCUUCCAGUUUGAAAGGACAUUGCAUUACUGUGUCGUAACCUGCGUUAAACCUGUGUUUCGUUCACUUUCUAUUUAUAAAGUGCCUUUCACCCACUGACAUUUAGACUAACUGGUUGGAAGCUCUCAAAGCUGCUUUCUUAUGAAAUCUCUCUCUCAGCAGAGCAAGUUGCUUAGAUGCUUUUUGCUUGAGCUUCUGUCAAGUAAUGUGUUGACUAAAGUACUCCUGCAGGGUCCUUCGGACAGAUUUUACAAAUGAGAGUGAGACCCUACAAUUAUCACUGACUUUCAGUGGGAGCUGGCUGCAUGCUUUACUCCCCUUUCUAACUUUGAAAAUAUCCCCCUUAUGUCUACAAUGUAGACAUAAAUGCCUCAAUAGUUGAAUUGGAUAUAGGGAGUAGUGUACUCUAUUGGUUACAACAGGAGACUGAGAAUUGGGACUCUCAGAGUCUGUUCAUAGUGCUUCUGUUUGACCUUCUGUAUGACAUUGGGUAAAACAGAAAGUGACACCUCAAAGGAGCAUCAGGAGUCAUAGGCCCCGAUUCUGCAAAGCUUGUAAGUUCCCACUGACAUCCAUGAGACUUAAAUAUAUACUUAAACUUAAGCAGGUGAUUCAUAUGCUUUACUGUACUUGACAGUCUUUCUUUAUUUGGGGUUAUAUUGAGGCACACCCAUUGAAAGGGGCCAUGUGAAGGUACCUUACCUCAGUAAAACAGAGGAGGCAGUAGGCCUCUUAGACCUCAUUAUGUAGGAGAGUAACAGAGAGGUAGCCGUGUUAGUCUGAUCUU